GCUGAUCCAGCCAUGCCGCGUGCAGGAAGACUGCCCUAUGGGUUGUAAACUGCUUUUAUACGGGAAGAAACCCCCCUACGUGUAGGGGGCUGACGGUACCGUAAGAAUAAGGAUCGGCUAACUCCGUGCCAGCAGCCGCGGUAAUACGGAGGAUGCAAGCGUUAUCCGGAAUCAUUGGGUUUAAAGGGUCCGUAGGUGGACUAAUAAGUCAGAGGUGAAAUCCUGCAGCUCAACUGUAGAACUGCCUUUGAUACUGGUUGUCUUGAAUUAUUGUGAAGUGGUUAGAAUAUGUAGUGUAGCGGUGAAAUGCAUAGAUAUUACAUAGAAUACCGAUUGCGAAGGCAGAA
rnacentral:rRNA from 1 species